AUGGCUCAGUAGUUAGGAGCAUUGGUUUUCUUCCAAAAGACCUGGGUUCAAUUCCCAGU
rnacentral:tRNA from 1 species